rnacentral:rRNA from 1 species
ACGAACGCUGGCGGCGUGCCUAAUACAUGCAAGUCGAGCGGACCAUGAGAAGUUUACUUUCUUCUUGGUUAGCGGCGGACGGGUGAGUAACACGUGGGCAACCUGCCUAUAAGACUGGGAUAACUUCGGGAAACCGGAGCUAAUACCGGAUAAUAUAAAAGAUCACAUGGUCUUUUAUUGAAAGAUGGCUUCGGCUGUCACUUAUAGAUGGGCCCGCGGCGCAUUAGCUAGUUGGUGAGGUAAUGGCUCACCAAGGCGACGAUGCGUAGCCGACCUGAGAGGGUGAUCGGCCACACUGGGACUGAGACACGGCCCAGACUCCUACGGGAGGCAGCAGUAGGGAAUCUUCCGCAAUGGACGAAAGUCUGACGGAGCAACGCCGCGUGAGCGAUGAAGGCCUUCGGGUCGUAAAGCUCUGUUGUUAGGGAAGAACAAGUAUCAUUCGAAUAGGGCGGUACCUUGACGGUACCUAACCAGAAAGCCACGGCUAACUACGUG